ensembl:lncRNA
GGACAGACACAUGGGAGAGAUUUAAGAGUGCAUAGGCAACCACCAAUUUAGCAGUUCCUGACUUGGCUUUUUUAAUCUAAUGCGGCGCUUCUAACUUCUACUCUGCCUAAAAGCUGGAGGAUUCAACUGCAGAUCUGUGAAGGAGGAGGAUUCAGGAACACUGCAAGUAGAUGCUUGGAAGUAUAAGAUAAAGAAGAUAAAGAAGAGCGCAGAACAAAAAUAGACUGCAUGUUCUUUCUUGUUUUCUGCAUACCAACAUGGUUCCAAUUCUUUUUUGAAAAAAAAAAUUUGUAUUUUAUAGCAGGUUCAGCAGUUAAAUUUUGUCUUUUUUUACAAAUACCUCCAAUAACAGUUUAUAUUGACUGCAAUAAACAUGUGUAAAUGAAAGCAGUCAUAGCUUUAUUUAACUGAAGUAAUAUUAAGACAUUGAAACUUUGUUGACAGAAACCCUUUUAGUGUCAUUAAGUCUGCUGCUAAUUUCUGAAGGUAAAAGUUUCCUCACAGAGGCUGCUAUGGGCAGUAGUUUCAUACAAAAAUGGGCACAGAUUCUGGGUUGUCUUUGCAAAUGGUUUCCUACAGUAGUAGAUUAACUCCCUAUGGACUAACAGAUGGAAGGUAAUUUGAAUGUUGCCUCUGAAAUCUGAACCCAGGCUGAAGAGGGAGUCCGAACCCCAAUUUUUAUUUAUUUAUUUUUUAAACUUCAGAUCAUCUGAUCCUAUAUAAAUGCAUUCUAGUAUGGAAAACAGCCCUGCUAAAUGAAUUUCAGACUAAACUUGAAAAUGCUUGAAAAGCUUUAAAGCUUUUAACCUUGAAUCCUAUUGUAGUUUGAAUGUUUUUUGUUGUUUAUUUGGGGAUUUUUUUUAUAUAUAUUUUUGAUAGGUAGGUAAGGAGGGUAUCAAAGUUUUUCCAUUCAGCUAUGCAUCUUUGAUCUCUGCUUCUAUUACAGGGUGAUUCUUCUGCUUGUUCUAGCAGCAGUAUCCCUAGUAUUAGGAAAAAACUUCACUGUGCAUGUUCCUCCCUGUAGACAAUGAAUAAAGUUCGUGUUCAUUGAAGUAUCACACUGGAAGAGUGUAUGUCUACAAAAAGCUACAUGCAAAUUCAUAAAGCCUUAAGGUCUUUAAUUCCAGG